UAGUCAAGUGAUUUUGAAUUAUGGUACCAA
rnacentral:piRNA from 1 species